AGGAGCCAUAUGAGAUGGAAAAUCUCAUGUACGGUUCUGGAACGGAGAUCCUUUGAAUGGAAUGAACGACCGUAAC
rnacentral:ncRNA from 1 species